GACGAACGCUGGCGGCGUGCUUAACACAUGCAAGUCGAACGAUGAAGCUGGAGCUUGCUCUGGUGGAUUAGUGGCGAACGGGUGAGUAACACGUGAGUAACCUGCCCUGGACUCUGGGAUAACCCCGAGAAAUCGGAGCUAAUACCGGAUAGGACCUCGGAUCGCAUGAUCUGGGGUGGAAAGUUUUUCGGUCUGGGAUGGACUCGCGGCCUAUCAGCUUGUUGGUGAGGUAAUGGCUCACCAAGGCGUCGACGGGUAGCCGGCCUGAGAGGGUGACCGGCCACACUGGGACUGAGACACGGCCCAGACUCCUACGGGAGGCAGCAGUGGGGAAUAUUGUACGAUGGGCGCAAGCCUGAUGCAGCAACGCCGCGUGCGGGAUGACGGCCUUCGGGUUGUAAACCGCUUUUAGUAAGGAAGAAGCCGCAAGGUGACGGUACUUGCAGAAAAAGGACCGGCUAACUACGUGCCAGCCGCCGCCGUAAAAC
rnacentral:rRNA from 1 species